rnacentral:rRNA from 1 species
AUUGAACGCUGGCGGCAGGCCUAACACAUGCAAGUCGAACGAGUGGCGCACGGGUGAGUAAUGUCUGGGAAACUGCGUGAUGGAGGGGGAUCACUACUGGAAACGGUAGAUAAUACCGCAUACCAUCAGAUGUGCCCAGAUGGGUUUCGCUUGUUGGUGGUGUAACGGCUCACAAAGGCGACGAUCCCUAGCUGGUCUGAGAGGAUGACCAGCCACACUGGAACUGAGACACGGUCCAGACUCCUACGGGAGGCAGCAGUGGGGAAUAUUGCACAAUGGGCGCAAGCCUGAUGCAGCCAUGCCGCGUGUAUGAAGAAGGCCUUCGGGUUGUAAAGUACUUUCAGCGGGGAGGCGUUACCCGCAGAAGAAGCCCCGGCUAACUCCGUGCCAGCAGCCGCGGUAAUAC